GUUUGAUUGUAUCUUCCUGUAUUUCUUUAAGGGAUUUAUUCAUUUUUUUCUUUAAAGGCCUCUAUCAUCUUCAUAAGAUUGAGUGAAUGUCAUUUUCUUGUGCUUUACUUGUGUUAGGAUAUCCAGGGUUUCUGUAGUAAGAUAGCUAUGCUCUGAAGAUGGCCUAUUUCAUUUGGUCUUGUUGGUUAUGUUCUUAUGCUGGCCUUUAGUCAUCUGGUCCCUGGAUUUUAUAGGUGUAACAGGUAUCAGGAGAUUUGGCCUAACCUGGAUGUUCCUGGUGCAGCAGGCCUCUGGUGGGCAGCCUUGGCCUGGACAAUGGAUCUCAUGGGGCAGACUCAGAGCAGCUGGUUGUGCUCCAGGUGACAUAGAGGGCAGGAGAUUUGGGGCAGGAGAUAGGGUCUAUCCUGUAUACUCCAAGUACAUCAGGUCUGUGUGAGGCCAGUGGAGCAGUGGCUGGACAAUGGAGCUGGGGUUGGGGGUGAGAGACACACAGCUCAAGGCAACUGGGUAUGCACCAGAGGAGUCCACCUUGUAUUUUGUUAAGAAUGUGUUUGUACAGAUUUUCAUGUUUUGUUUCAUUGUCAUAUAAUAUCAGAACAAUUAAAAGAUUAUCAGUGGUUGUCAUAUUUAAAUUUUGAGAUAUCAAAGAAUGUCCCUUGAGUGGACAUAUUAAAAUUUAUAAUGCAUUUAUGGUUGUAUGAGGGAUAUUUAUAUCAUGUUGUGCACAAUUAUGACUCUGUUAAAUAUAUAAUGCUUUUGAGAUUGUCCAUGUGAUAGGUAUAUAGGUAUAAUUAUGACCUGGCUAUUACUUCCAUUUGGAAGAUAAGCAUGAAAAAGGGAUAUAUGAAUGUGUGUCUAGAUGACAAGGGGUGGGCUUGUAAUGGCUAUUUUUGUUGUUAACUUCAUCUGGAAUCAACUAAAACCUUAGCAGGUCAGUACACCUUUGAGAGAUAAUAAAUCUAUCUCUUUGAGAAAUAAAAUUCAAUUGAAGAUGGAAAGACACACCUUUAAUCCAGAUUUUUUGAGGAUCGAAGAUACACCUAAAACUGGGUCAUACCUUGUUUUGGCAGCCUAUAUAAAAGACAUGGAAGAAGGAAGUUCCCUCUAGAGAGCUUCCCCUUACUCUUGCUAGCAAGUCUAUUCCUUCAUGAGCAUUAGGACCUACUUUUUUUUCUUAUUAGAUAUUUUCUUCAUUUACAUUUCAAAUGCUUUCCCAAAAGUCGCCUAUACCCUCUUCAUGCCCUGCUCCUCAAACUACCCACUUCUGCAUGCUGGCACGGCAUUCCCCUGUACUGGGACAUCUGAUCUUCACAAAACCAAGGGCCUCUCUUCUUAUUGAUGGCCAACUAGGUCAUCCUCUGCUACAUAUGCAACUAGAGACAUAGAUCUGGGAGGUACUAGUUAGCUAAUAUUUUUGAUCCUCCUACAGGGAUGCAGACCCCAUUAGCCCCUUGGUUACUUUCUCUGGCUCCUUAAUUAGGGGCCCCAUGUUCCUUCCAAUAGGGCCUACUUCUUUGGAAUCCAGACAUAUACUGAAAAACAUCUAAGACAUCCAACCUUGAGGACUGAAAAAUUAAUGAAUUCUUGGUAUUUCUGUUAGUAGAUUAGCUGAACUAUAUAGUCUGUAAGCCAUUCUAAUAAACAAUUCACAUACAUGCUGUAAGGUUUACUCUUCUAGAGAACCCCACCUAACACAAUACUACAAAGGCAUUUACAUUUGAUUUGGAAUGGAUAAGAAGUAAUGAAGGCAUUUGGAAAGGAACUGGAAUAGGAAAAAUGUGUGAUGCCACAUAAAAUGAGACAAAAUGUCUAACCCAAAAGGACCAAUAACAGUUUCCUAUGGAGAAAGAGCUCAGACUAUCUAAGGUAACUUCAGUAGAAGAAUCUAAGCUUGGAGAUAGGGGUUUAGCCUGCUGGCUGUGAGUGGUAACUUGGUUAUCGUGACACCAUAGGUUCAAUCCUUAGCAGUUGAAGAACAAAAGAAUAUGACUCACAGAUUAAGAGACUAGUAACCAAAGCUUUUCAUUGUAAGGUGAGCUUGAAACAUUUGUAAUGAAAAAUGAGAUUAAUCUUUUAAAGUAGAUUAACAAUGGAUCCUUUGGAGCUGGAGUUACAGAUGGUUGUAAGCCACCAUGUGGGUGCCAUAAACCAAACCUAAGUCCUCGGAAGGAACAGCAUGUGCUUUU
rnacentral:lncRNA from 1 species